GACGAACGCUGGCGGCGCGCUUAACACAUGCAAGUCGAACGGAAAGGCCUGCUUUCCCUUGUGGAUUGCGGGUACUCGAGUGGCGAACGGGUGAGUAACACGUGAGUGAUCUGCCCCCAACUUGGGUAUAAGCCUGGGAAACUGGGUCUAAUUCCCGAUAGGACUGCAGGGUGGUGCCUGUGGUGGAAAACGAUUUUCUAGUGGUUGGGGAUGAGCUCGCGGCCUAUCAGCUUGUUGGUGGGGUAAUGGCCUACUAAGGCGGCGACGGGUAGCCGGCCUGAGAGGGUGGACGGCCACAUUGGGACUGAGAUACGGCCCAGACUCCUACGGGAGGCAGCAGUGGGGAAUAUUGCACAAUGGGCGGAAGCCUGAUGCAGCGACGCCGCGUGGGGGAUGACGGCCUUCGGGUUGUAAACUCCUUUCGACCGCGAGGAAGCCACCUGGUUGGAAGGGUGGUGACGGUAGUGGUAGAAGAAGCACCGGCUAACUACGUG
rnacentral:rRNA from 1 species